AUUGAACGCUGGCGGAAUGCUUUACACAUGCAAGUCGAACGGUAGAGGGGGCAACCCCUUGAGAGUGGCGAACGGGUGAGUAAUAUAUCGGAACGUGCCCAGUCGUGGGGAUAACGUAGCCGAAAGUUACGCUAAUACCGCAUACGAUCUAAGGAUGAAAGCGGGGGACUCGCAAGAGCCUCGCGCGAUUGGAGCGGCCGAUAUCAGAUUAGGUAGUUGGUGGGGUAAAGGCUCACCAAGCCAACGAUCUGUAGCUGGUCUGAGAGGACGACCAGCCACACUGGAACUGAGACACGGUCCAGACUCCUACGGGAGGCAGCAGUGGGGAAUUUUGGACAAUGGACGCAAGUCUGAUCCAGCCAUUCCGCGUGCAGGAUGAAGGCCCUCGGGUUGUAAACUGCCUUUGUACGGAACGAAACGGUGAGCUCUAAUACAGUUUGCUAAU
rnacentral:rRNA from 1 species